rnacentral:rRNA from 1 species
UACGUAGGGUGCAAGCGUUAAUCGGAAUUACUGGGCGUAAAGCGUGCGCAGGCGGCUAUGCAAGACAGAUGUGAAAUCCCCGGGCUUAACCUGGGAACCGCAUUUGUGACUGCAUAGCUGGAGUACGGCAGAGGGGGAUGGAAUUCCGCGUGUAGCAGUGAAAUGCGUAGAUAUGCGGAGGAACACCGAUGGCGAAGGCAGUCCCCUGGGCCUGUACUGACGCUCAUGCACGAAAGCGUGGGGAGCAAACAGG